rnacentral:lncRNA from 1 species
UGGGAGGCUUCGGGGAGGCUGACCUUUGCGGACGGACACGCAAGGGUGCUGCACGACUUAGGCAAAACCAGCUAAGUCCGUGACAGAUGGUAUCAGAGCGGGACAAGCACUCAUAGAAACACUUAGCAUGCAAACGUGGGGGACCUAGCGGAACUGCGUUGAGGGCAGUCAGCACACGCGCGACCGUUUGGGGAAAAACGGGCAUGGAGAUGUAGGG